CAUGAUUCUCUCUCCUAACCGCCAUUUUAUUUUAUUUGCUCCACUCCUGCGAUUCAACGAGGGCAUCAUCAUCCCCCAAUUUCGGAGAUCUAUUGCCCAGUUUCUUUGAUUGAUCUUCGAUUUUCCAUGUUAGGUUCUGAGCGAUGAGCAGAAGAGACAAUUCUAUGACCAUCAUGGUGAUGCCACCCCCGGGCUCAUGUUAUUUUGAUGUUUAUUAGAUUGAACCCUGUAAAUUUGCGGCGAUUGUUCGAGAGGAAAACAUUUGGCACAGGGGACAACCAUGAUUACCCUACUCAGUUAGUUGAGAUUGGACAUAAGAUUGUUGAGAAGAUUUCUUCAAGAAGGCAAGCCUUCCUCAGCUGGAUGACGAGGAAAGGAAACGACUCUUGCAAUUUGUUGUUGUUAGUGGAGGGCCAACAGGUGUGGAGUUUGCAGCUGAGUUGCACGACUUUGUUGGAGAAGACUUGGCAAUAUUACCCUUGUUGAGGCAGGAGAUCAUAUAUUGAACAUGUUUGAUAAAAGAAUCACUGAAUUUGCUGAAAACAAAUUCAAGAGAGAGGGUAUAGAUGUGAAACUUGGUUCAAUGGUGACAAAAUUUACAGAUAAGGAUAUUUCUACAAAGGACAGGGCCACAAGUAAGACUCAUUCCAUUCCUUACGGUAUGGUUGUUUUGGUCUACAAGACAUGGAACUCGCCCUGUAGUCAUGGAAUUCAUGAAGCAAAUUGGUCAGACUAACAGACGUGACUAAUAUCGAGAAAAACAGCUAAGAUCACCAUACAAUAAAUUGUAAUCGGCAUGAAACUGCUCAAGAGAUGUGCAGUUCUCUAAGCUGUCAAGCACACUAGUGAAAUAAUUCAGAGAGCUUGUUCUGACUAAUCUCGAGAAAACCAGAUGGUUGCAAAUAGGAAAACUCGAUAGGCAAUUACCUUCUAUGUAGUUACCAGAAAGGUCAAGAACCUCCAACUCGUCCAACUUACUUACCAAAGGACUGCGAUAUUGAUUUACUUUUUUUGGGUUUUUGCUUUUCUUUUGUUGAUUCUAUUUAA